ACUUGAAUGAGAUUUUUUUAGCUCUUUGGAUCUCUCAACAACAUCCUGCUGCUUACAAGUUUGGACUGAUUCACUGUGUUUUUUAUUCAACAGCAUCUUCCCAUUAUUGGCUUUGGUACCUGCCAAUUGUGCUCAAAGAAGACCUAAUAAUAUUAUCAAAGAACACAGUAGUUAUCAAAGAGCACAGUAGUAAAGCAUUUAACAAGGAAGUUAAGUUCUUCCUUACCAGUGAUGUAUUUAAGUCCAGAGCCAGCUUCGAAUCACGGACCUCCAGUUCAAAAACCAGAACUCUAUGCACUACAUUACGGCUGCUAAAUUUAUUGAAAGAUGUAUUUAAAAUUUAUUAAAAGAUGUAUUUAACGUUUAUUGAGCAAAAGCAGUAAUAAAUUUUUAUAACUAUAAUUUCAUCAAA